AUGGUAGAGGUGCGGUUUUCAACAGUACUGCAGGACGAAGCAUGGGAGCUGUCCGGUGGGAAAGGGGACGCCGCCGAAGGAAUGGGACCCUCCCAUGGGACUGUUUCCUGGGCCGAUGCAGAAUAUGCAGCGGACUGUCACGAAGGUGUGGAGCGCUAUC
rnacentral:ncRNA from 1 species